AAUUGAUGAGACACGUGAAGGGCAAGAAGAUGGACUGUUGCAGGUGCUCUUGUAGCAGAAGUCAGACUGAGAGAGAUGCCUGCUGCUGAAUGGCACUUGGAAGUGUUUAAAAACUUUAUGGGAAAUAGCUGUGACCUGACUUUGAAGGUGACCCAGCUCUGAGCAGGGGAUUGGACCAGAUUAUCUAUACAGAAAUCUGGGAUUUUGAUGCCUUUCCUGAGCUCAUUAUAUGAGACCAGUUUAUGCUAACACCAGAACAUGAGAAUCACUGAGCUGUUUAAUAGCCUCCGCAAGGACCUCAGUUGACUGAAAACUUCACACAGGUGACUGACGUUCCAGGACUGAAUUUUUGCUUGGACCGCCUGCCCAUGUAUGGCUGCUUAAACCCUUGCAAGAAAUACCUGCACCACACUCCGCUCCAGAAAUAAGGGAGGURUUAGGCACUAGAAGACCACCUAAUUUUCCAAGCAGUCAGAAUUAUACGAAACAGAUCAGUUCUGAGGACGCGAUUUUUAAUUCUCAUGGCAUUUGCCUGGCACCCCACUUGGUGUGUGAAUCGGAUAAUGAGYUCUUUGGACUAUCAACAUGCAUGGUACCAUCUGUCACUGAAUCGUCUGCUUUUUGUUUGGCUCCAGUACUAACUGCACCAACUGCAUUGCCAAAUUUGUCUGGAGGACAAAUGGAAGCUUGGGCAUUAGGAUUGAAGACAUGAAGGAAUCUGGAAAAGAUGUUAGUAGAACUGUAGAAUGAAGGCCUUCAUUCAGUCACCAACUGUGCUGCUUAAAUUUGGCCUCGGCUGACGCCUUUUCAUUACCAAGUGAUUUAAAUUGCAUGCAGAUGCAGCUUGUACGGAGAGCAGACCCGUCCUGCACCAAGUCAAAUGGAUAACGUCAGCCAAGGAAACAAUCUGCRUGGUGCAGAAAAAGGAGGAAACUAAGUGCCUAAGCCAUCACUUUGUAAGGAAUGAGCUGAAGAUGCUCCCCACGUUCAAGGAACAUUUUAUAGGAAAAACAGGUGCUGGGGCAGGUGUUGAGAAGAAAGAUCUUUCUUAAAUGAGCCUCAUSCCAACCUGCUGGACGUGGGGCCAUGAGCAGAUAGAGCAGUGCAAUUUUGG